rnacentral:rRNA from 1 species
GGGGAAUAUUGCACAAUGGGCGAAAGCCUGAUGCAGCAACGCCGCGUGAGCGAUGAAGGCCUUCGGGUCGUAAAGCUCUGUCCUCAAGGAAGAUAAUGACGGUACUUGAGGAGGAAGCCCCGGCUAACUACGUGCCAGCAGCCGCGGUAAUACGUAGGGGGCUAGCGUUAUCCGGAAUUACUGGGCGUAAAGGGUGCGUAGGUGGUUUCUUAAGUCAGAGGUGAAAGGCUACGGCUCAACCGUAGUAAGCAUUUGAAACUGAGAAACUUGAGUGCAGGAGAGGAGAGUAGAAUUCCUAGUGUAGCGGUGAAAUGCGUAGAUAUUAGGAGGAAUACCAGUUGCGAAGGCGGCUCUCUGAACUGUAACUGACACUGAGGCACGAAAGCGUGGGGAGCAAAC